GUGGGGAAUAUUGGACAAUGGGCGCAAGCCUGAUCCAGCCAUGCCGCGUGAGUGAUGAAGGCCUUAGGGUUGUAAAGCUCUUUCAGUGGGGACGAUAAUGACGGUACCCACAGAAGAAGCCCCGGCUAACUUCGUGCCAGCAGCCGCGGUAAUACGAAGGGGGCUAGCGUUGUUCGGCUUUACUGGGCGUAAAGCGCACGUAGGCGGAUCGUUAAGUCGGGGGUGAAAUCCUGGAGCUCAACUCCAGAACUGCCUUCGAUACUGGCGAUCUUGAGUCCGGAAGAGGUGGGUGGAACUCCUAGUGUAGAGGUGGAAUUCGUAGAUAUUAGGAAGAACACCAGUGGCGAAGGCGGCUCACUGGUCCGGUACUGACGCUGAGGUGCGAAAGCGUGGGGAGCAAACAGGAUUAGAAACCCUGGUAGUCC
rnacentral:rRNA from 1 species